rnacentral:ncRNA from 1 species
UUGAAGCCCCGGAAUCGGGCUUGCGGACGAGGGAGCAGUACCCGCACCACGACAAGACUGACUCAGA